CUUGUUCAAUUUGUAGUUACCCAACCAAACCCCAGCAGCUGGCAGAGCACGGCUCAAAAUGCUCCUUCCAUGGCAAAACAGGGAUGCUGUGAGCACCUGGGACAUGGUUCAAAAUGUUCCUUCCAUGGCAAAACAGGGAUUCUGUGAGCACCUGGGACAUGGUUCAAAAUGUUCCUUCCAUGGCAAAACAGGGAUUCUGUGAGCACCUGGGACAUGGUUCAAAAUGUUCCUUCCAUGGCAAAACAGGGAUGCUGUGAGCACCUGGGAUGUGGUUCAAAAUGCUCCUUCCAUGGUGGAGCAGAGGCAACCUGGCAAACCCACAUGACGAUGCAGAACCAUGCUGUAAUAAAAUCCUGAAUGUUGUUA